rnacentral:rRNA from 1 species
AGACAUGAUGAGGCAAGACGCAGGGAACUGAAACAUCUAAGUACCUGCAGGAAGAGAAAAUAAGAAUGAUUUUCUGAGUAGCGGCGAGCGAAAGGGAAAGAGCCCAAACCGAUCUGAGGAUCGGGGUAGUAGGAUCAUCGAUAAAUCAAACAGAGGAUCAUAGAGGAAUCACAUGGGAAGGUGAGCGAGAGAGGGUGAGAGCCCCGUACUCGAAAUGAGAGACUGGAGAGAGAUGACACCUGAGUAGGGCGGGACACGAGAAAUCCUGUCUGAAUCAGCCGGGACCAUCCGGCAAGGCUAAAUACGAGAGAGUGACCGAUAGUGAACCAGUACCGUGAGGGAAAGGUGAAAAGAACCCCGGGAGGGGAGUGAAAGAGAACCUGAAACCAUAUGCCUACAAGAAGUCAGAGCCCGUUAAAGGGUGAUGGCGUGCCUUUUGUAGAAUGAACCGGCGAGUUACUAUUUCAGGCGAGGUUAAGCAGGAUAUGCGGAGCCGAAGCGAAAGCGAGUCUUAAGAGGGCGAAAGUCUGAGGUAGUAGACCCGAAACCGAGUGAUCUAGCCAUGGCCAGGUUGAAGUUGGGGUAAAACCCGAUGGAGGACCGAACCGACCCCCGUUGAAACGUUGGCGGAUGAGUUGUGGCUAGGGGUGAAAUUCCAAUCGAACCCGGAGAUAGCUGGUUCUCCCCGAAAUAGCUUUAGGGCUAGCGUCGAGAGAAGAGUUGCGUGAAGGUAGAGCACUGAAUAUGUGAUGGCCCCAUCUCGGGGUACUGAGCAUAAUCAAACUGCGAAUGUCACGCCAACAUGCUCGGCAGUCAGACAGCGGGUGAUAAGGUCCGUUGUCAAGAGGGAAACAGCCCAGACCAUCAGCUAAGGUCCCAAAAUGUAUGCUAAGUGGAAAAGGAUGUGGAGAUGUACAGACAACUAGGAGGUUGGCUCAGAAGCAGCCAUCCUUUAAAGAGUGCGUAACAGCUCACUAGUCGAAUGACUCUGCGCCGAUAAUUUACCGGGGCUAAGCAUACUACCGAAGCUAUGGAUCCCAAGGGAUGGUAGGGGAGCGUUCCAUGAACGGAGAAGUACGACCGAAAGGACGUGUGGAGAUCAUGGAAGAGAGAAUGCCGGUGUGAGUAGCGGAACGUGGGUGAGAAUCCCACGCACCGAAAACCCAAGGUUUCCAGAGGAAGGUUCGUCCGCUCUGGGUAAGUCGGGACCUAAGGCGAGGCCGAAAGGCGUAGUCGAUGGACAACAGGUAGAGAUUCCUGUACCCGUAUAUAUGUGAAGGAAUGACGGAGAGAGGAAGCUGCAGCCAGCGGCUGGAAGAGCUGGUGCAAGCGAGAUAUCGGGAUGGCAGGCAAAUCCACCAUCCGAAACGAGAAGGCGUGAAGCGUACGGAAAGCUACGGCGAGUACGGAAGGCAGUGGAGGAACUUCCAAGAAAAGUUUCUAACGUUAAGUAUAUAUGGCCCGUACCGAAAAUGGACACACAUGGGUGAGGAGAGAAUCCUAAGGUGAGCGAGAGAACUAUAGCUAAGGAACUCUGCAAAAUGACUCCGUAACUUAGGGAGAAGGAGUGCUCAUAGAGAUAUGAGCCGCAGUGAAACGGCCCAAGCGACUGUUUACCAAAAACACAGCUCUCUGCUAAGCCGCAAGGCGAAGUAUAGGGGGUGACGCCUGCCCGGUGCUGGAAGGUUAAGGGGAGGGGUUAACGCAAGUGAAGCCCUGAACUGAAGCCCCAGUAAACGGCGGCCGUAACUAUAACGGUCCUAAGGUAGCGAAAUUCCUUGUCAGGUAAGUUCUGACCC